GACGGAGGAUGCAAGCGUUAUCCGGAAUGAUUGGGCGUAAAGCGUCCGCAGGUGGCAGUUCAAGUCUGCUGUCAAAGACCGGGGCUUAACUUCGGAAAGGCAGUGGAGACUGAACAGCUAGAGUAUGGUAGGGGCAGAGGGAAUUCCUGGUGUAGCGGUGAAAUGCGUAGAGAUCAGGAAGAACAUCGGUGGCGAAGGCGCUCUGCUGGACCAUAACUGACACUCAGGGACGAAAGCUAGGGGAGCGAAUGGG
rnacentral:rRNA from 1 species